rnacentral:lncRNA from 1 species
UAUUGGGAAUUAUCCAUAUUUAUGGAAAAUCAAAGAUAUGGGUAUCAAAUAAUGGAAAGUCAAAGAUAUGGGUAUCAAAUAUUGGAAAGUCAAAGAUAUGGGUAUCGAGAUAUUGGCAUAAUAAAAUCUGAGAUAUUUGCAAUAUAUGGUCCCUAAAUUGUAAAGUGACUUUGCAAGUUGAUCCCUGAACCUCAACUAUAAAUAGGCAUAACCAUCUCUCAUUCUGUAUCUCAAACUUGCCAUUCUCUACUUAAGGCAUUGUUUUCUCUCUCUCUCUUUGUAAAUUCUCACUUGUAUUUUGGAGUGAAAUAUAUUUGGUAGUGCCCGAAGACGUAGGCAAAAUUUGCUGAACCUCGUUAAAUUCUUGUGUUCUUUAUUGUAUUAUUCUGCAUGAAUUGUGUGUGUGAUUGUAGUGAUUUAUUGUGCUAUUAAAUUACGAUUGAGGGAUAUUCUGGCUAGGAAAGACCUGGUACUUAAGCGAUCCUUGCGAUCCACCUCUCUUUCCUGGGAAUUGAACUUAGUGUGAUUUUUUAGUACAAUAAUUUUACUCUUUUACACGCUUCCGCACAACAAUUGGUAUCAGAGCUAGAUUCGUACUUAGGGAAUACGAUCGUUC